rnacentral:rRNA from 1 species
GCAUCUGUUAUUCUAGUUUACGAUUUUGUGACAAAUAACAUUUAUGUUAUAAGCACAUGCGUAAGCGAUAAUGAUAAUAAAUGUGUGCACUUCUUUUUUAGUAGGCCGUUGCAAUCUGUUGUACGUCAAUUUAAGACUUGUUUGUAAGUUUGUAAAUUUUUAAUUUGCAAGACAACAAUGUUCUAAUUGACUUGUUCGACAGUAUUAUAAAUAAUGCAAAGCCGCAACAUUAGUUUGCGUUCAACCUGUGACAAGCUCGUUUGUUUAAUUGGAUAUUGCAUUUAUAUGUCGAUACUGAUUGCAAACAGCUGUUAGUUAUAGUGUUUGAACAGACUUUGAAACAUUUAUUAGCAACGUUAUUGUUUUGGGUACUUUCAGGGCCCGUCUUGAAACACGGACCAAGGAGUCUAGCAUGUGCGCGAGUCAUUGGGAAUUGAUUAAACCUAAAGGCGAAAUGAAAGUAAAAGUUUAUCUUGUAUAAACUAAGGGAAGAUGAGUAGAUUUAAAAUAUUUACUCCGCACUCCCGGGGCGUCUUAUUCUUAUUGCAAGAAAAGGUGCACCAAGAGCGUACAUGCUGGGACCCGAAAGAUGGUGAACUAUGCCUGGUCAGGACGAAGUCAGGGGAAACCCUGAUGGAGGUCCGUA